rnacentral:rRNA from 1 species
GAUGAACGCUAGCGGCAGGCCUAACACAUGCAAGUCGAGGGGUAGAGUUAGCUUGCUAACUUGAGACCGGCGCACGGGUGCGUAAGGCGUAUGCAAUCUACCUUGUACAGGGGGAUAGCCGAGAGAAAUUUGGAUUAAUACCCCAUAGUGUUAUCGAAUCGCAGGGUUUGAUAACUAAAGUUCCAACCGUACGAGAUUAGCAUGCGUCACAUUGGCGAGUUGGGGUGGUAACGGCAUACCGAGGCAAUGAUGGGUAGGGGUCCUGAGAGGGAGAUCCACCACACUGGUACUACGACACAGACCAGACUCCUAGGGGAGGGAGCAGUGAGGAAUAUUGGUCAAGGAGCGCAGGCCUGAACCAGCCAUGCCGCGUGCAGGAUCACGGUCCUAUGGAUUGUAAACUGCUUUUAUACGGGAAGAAACGCUCCUACGUGGAGGACCUUGACGGUACCGUAAGAAUAAGGAUCGGCUAACUCCGUGCCAGCCGCCGCCGUAAGAC